rnacentral:miRNA from 1 species
UCUUGCACCGUUCCAAAAGAGAG